rnacentral:rRNA from 1 species
AUCUAUGGCCAUGCCACCCUGAACAAGCCCGAUCCCAUUUGAUCUCAGAAGCUAAGCAGGGUCGGGCCUGGUUAGUACUUGGAUGGGAGACCACCUAGGAAAAACAGGUGCUGUAGGUG